rnacentral:lncRNA from 1 species
AUAUGUUAGAAUAUGUAAGAUGAUUCAAUUGUGUUACCUUGAUGCAUACAUUGCUUGUCUUGCAUGAUUUACGGUUAAUUUGUAAAACUAAAAAUUAAAAUGUAAACAAAAAUUGAUUGGUUAAGUGAAUGAGUGAAUGGUUGUCCUACUGGAUAUCUUGAGAGAUGGUGGACGGAUCAGGUACAGAUGGAAUAUCGAUGAAUGAUACUUUUAGUGCUCAUACUGGACGGGAUAUGGGGACGGCUCGAUUCACCCUCAUACUGGAUAGGGUAUUGAAGGAUGGUACUUUUGGCGCUUAUACCGGAUGGGAUACGAGGACAGCUAGUUUGUUGACAAAUUUUGAUAU